UCGUAAUAGCAUACGAUCCGCAUCGGAUCCGCGUGAACACAAAUUGUGUAUGGUACAAAUGCGACGCGAAGCAUACUUUAAAAUCGUAUUGUGUUCUGCGUUUUAAGUAUACUUACGCGUGCUUAUUUUAUUCCCGAAAAAAAAAAAAAAUCCUCAUUCGAGCAUCUCGUAUUCAAUAACAGUCUCGGAUAUUAGUACCUGCGUGUGAACACUCGUAUUUCAAUAUAACAUUAGUGUUCGAACGUCUAUUAUGUGUGUUUUUAAAUUAUUGUACAAUCGAAUUGUUUGGACGCAAAUUAUUACUGAUAACAGUCUGACAAAAAGUUGCGCGACGUGAGGACUAAUCGUGCGAAUACCGGUUUUUUUUUUUUUUUUUUUUUUUUUUUUUUUUCAAAGAUUUCAGUAAAAAUAUACUAAAUUUCACCCUAUACCCAAUAUAUACGUUUUGUAGAGAAAAUCCCUCAGUUAUAACAAUCCAUUAUUUUUUAUUGCAUCCCGUUACAUCUGCAGCGCAAAAGAAAAAAUCAUAU